rnacentral:rRNA from 1 species
GACGAACGCUGGCGGUGUGCUUCACACAUGCAAGUCGAACGAGGUAGCAAUACCUAGUGGCGGACGGGUGAGUAACGCGUGGGAAUCUGCCUUUAGAUGGGGGAUAACGGGUCGAAAGACUCGCUAAUACCGCAUAUGACGAAAGUUGAAAGGAGUAAUCCGUCUAAAGAUGAGCCCGCGUCCGAUUAGCUAGUUGGUAGAGUAAAAGCCUACCAAGGCGACGAUCGGUAGCUGGUCUGAGAGGAUGAUCAGCCACAAUGGGACUGAGACACGGCCCAUACU